GAUGAAGAACGCAGUGAAAUGCGAUAAGUAAUGUGAAUUGCAGAAUUCAGUGAAUCAUCGAGUCUUUGAACGCACAUUGCGCCCCCUGGUAUUCCGGGGGGUAUGCCUGUCCGAGCGUCAUUGCUGCCCUCAAGCACGGCUUGUGUGUUGGGCCCCCGUCCCCGGUUUCCCCCGGGGACGGGCCCGAAAGGCAGCGGCGGCACCGCGUCCGGUCCUCGAGCGUAUGGGGCUUUGUCACCCGCUCUGUAGGCCCGGCCGGCGCCAGCCGACACCCAACUUUAUUUCUAAGGUUGACCUCGGAUCAGGUAGGGAUACCCGCUGAACUUAAGCAUAUCAAUAAGCGGAGGA
rnacentral:misc_RNA from 1 species